rnacentral:rRNA from 1 species
UACAGAGGUGGCAAGCGUUGUUCGGAAUUACUGGGCGUAAAGGGCGCGUAGGCGGCCUUCUAAGUCAGACGUGAAAUCCCCCGGCUUAACCUGGGAACUGCGUCUGAUACUGGGAGGCUUGAGUAUGGGAGAGGGAAGUGGAAUUUCCGGUGUAGCGGUGAAAUGCGUAGAUAUCGGAAGGAACAUCAGUGGCGAAAGCGACUUCCUGGACCAAUACUGACGCUCAUGUGCGAAAGCGUGGGGAGCAAACAGG